ensembl:lncRNA LINC02197 long intergenic non-protein coding RNA 2197
AUUUUACUUCGACAAAGGUUGAAGUAUGUAGCAGGCGAGCGUCAGGGACAAGUGCAGCUAUCUCUUUGAUCACAUCGCUUUAAACAUUUUUCAGCUUUAAGCUUGUCUUACAAGUCAGCUCUAUCAGUCUAUUAAUUGUUUCACUGUACCUAAUAUCUUACACGAAGGCACCUUGAAAAACAGCAGGAGAAAGCACAUUUGUUUAAGUCCUGCGAUGGCUAGCACGGCAGCUAAUCUCCUUGCAAAUUAUAAUCAUAGUUGUAGUUCAUCCAUUAGGCUGGAAAAGACAAGAUUCCCAAGUGGCCUUGGUGCCUUUUCCAGUUCCCGGGAGACCCACCAACCCUCGGCGUGUGUUGCCUGCGCACCCGGAGCGUUCUUGCUAAUCAGUGAGGAGCUCAACAUAACAGGGAAAAGGAGCACAGGAUGCAGCUACUUAGAGGGUGUUGAUUGAAAACUUCGAUCUCCCCACCCCAUCACGGUUGAUUUGACGGAUUUCUCACCUCGUUCACAGAGAAAAUUUCAAUUAAGGCACAUGGAGACGGACCUCUACCUGCAAUGCCCCCCUUGCACUUGGACAGAACCAUGUGACUAUUUAUAAGCUAUGACACAUGAGCAGACAUGACAUGACGGGAUUGAUGGAGCAAUGACCUCAUCUUUUCUCCUGCCAAAUAUUAUGAAAGAGGACUCAAGUCACUCACCUGAGGGACACUGGGUGAAAGUCAGUAAUGAAGCUGAAAGGUCGCUAAAUGCUGGCAAGUGAGAUGGAUUAUAGUGUCUAGACUUUUUCCUGAGGUCAUUCUAUAUCCAGCAGAUAUCUUUCAGUAUAUAGUCUAUUCAGAACAAUGUGCUAGUGACUAUUGAGUGUGGUUACAUUCUUUUUUUUUUUUUUUUUUGAGAUGGAGUCUCACUCUGUCCCCUAGGCUGGAGUGCAGUGGCACAAUCUUGGCUCACUGCAACCUCUGCCU